rnacentral:rRNA from 1 species
AUUGAACGCUGGCGGCAGGCCUAACACAUGCAAGUCGAACGAGUGGCGGACGGGUGAGUAAUGUCUGGGAAACUGCCUGAUGGAGGGGGAUAACUACUGGAAACGGUAGCUAAUACCGCAUAACAUCAGAUGUGCCCAGAUGGGAUUAGCUAGUUGGUGGGGUAACGGCUCACCAAGGCGACGAUUCCGAGCUGGUCUGAGAGGAUGACCAGCCCCCAUGGAAGUGAGCCACGGUCCAGCAUCCUGCGGGAGGCAGCAGUUGGGAAUAUUGCACAAUGUGCGCAAGCCUGAUGCAGCCAUGCCGCUUGUAUGAAGAAGGCCUUCGGGUUGUAAAGUACUUUCAGCGGUGAUGCGUUACCCGCAGAAGAAGCACCGGCUAACUCCGUGCCAGCAGCCGCGGUAAUUC